AUUGAACGCUGGCGGCAGGCCUAACACAAGCAAGUCGAGCGGCAGCGGGAAAGUAGCUUGCUACUUUUGCCGGCGAGCGGCGGACGGGGGAGUAAUGCCUGGGAAAUUGCCCAGUCGAGGGGGAUAACAGUUGGAAACGACUGCUAAUACCGCAUACGCCCUACGGGGGAAAGCAGGGGACCUUCGGGCCUUGCGCGAUUGGAUAUGCCCAGGUGGGAAUAGCUAGUUGGUGAGGUAAUGGCUAACCAAGGCGACGAUCCCUAGCUGGCCUGAGAGGAUGAUCAGCCACACUUGAACUGAGACACGGUCCAGACUCCUACGGGAGGCAGCAGUGGGGAAUAUUGCACAAUGGGGGAAACCCUGAUGCAGCCAUGCCGCGUGUGUGAAGAAGGCCUUCGGGUUGUAAAGCACUUUCAGCGAGGAGGAAAGGUCAGUAGCUAAUACCUGCUGGCUGUGACGUUACUCGCAGAAGAAGCACCGGCUAACUCCGUGCCAGCAGCCGCGGUAAUAC
rnacentral:rRNA from 1 species